GACGAACGCUGGCGGAGGGAGGAAAAUAGGAAAGUAGAACGGGGAACAUCUUCGGAGGGGAUAAGUGGCGAAAGGGUGAGUAACAAGUGGGCAACCUGAUUGAGGAUCUGGGAUAACUUCAAGAAAUUGGGGAUAAUACCGGAUGUUCACCGCUUCCCGCAUGGGUGGUGGUGAAAAGGGUUUCCGGCUGGGGAUGGGCCCGCGGCCUAUCAGCUUGUUGGUGGGGUAGUGGCCUACCAAGGCGACGAACGGGAGCCGGCCUGAGAGGGUGACCGGCCACACUGGGACUGAGACACGGCCCAGACUCCUACGGGAGGCAGCAUUGGGGAAUAUUGCGCAAUGGGCGGAAGCCUGACGCAGCGACGCCGCGUAAUAGAUCCCUUCCUUCGAUUUGUAAACCUCUUUCAGCAAAGACAAAGCGCAAGUGACGGUACCUGCAGAAGAAGCACCAACACACUACGUG
rnacentral:rRNA from 1 species